rnacentral:lncRNA from 10 species
GUCACACACACUACACUUACCAGCUCCUCUAGAAACUAAGGGGAAAUGUUCCAAGAGGCAAUAGAAAACUCAUCAUAAAAAUUUCCAUUUUAGAUCAUUCUUUCACUAGUUUAAAAAAUAAAUAAUGAAAAGUCAAGUCAUUGAAAAGCCUUCAGUAAUUGCUAAGCAAGAAGAGAGCUGUUACCCUCUAAUAUUGCCAGUUAAUAAAAAUUGAAUGAGGGCUCUAAGGUUAAGCAAGUAUCAUCUCCCAAGCAAAAAGAGAAUCCAGAAACAGGAUUUAUCUUUUAUGUAAAUUUUUUUUAAAAAAUAAAGCAGUAUUUCUUUUCUUUUUUUUUUUUUAAUUCUUCAGCUAAAACAGCGGAAGAGGUGAUUUAUUAUAUGGUUGUUACACUCGGCCACAAAUAAACACAGAAAUAGUCCAGAAUGUCACAGGUCCAGGGCAGAGGACCAACAUGGGCAUUUUGUUUAGUAGCAUGCAGUCCCACAACUUGUACCAGCAUCCCCAGCGUCUGGCAUUCCAUGUUUCUGCUCCUGUGGCCUCCACGGUGCAACAAGCUAGCGGUUUACUUGGACCUCUGCCUCAUCUUUCUUCUUUUGCGCUUCAGCCUGCGCAUUCGCUUCUUCCUCCACUUGGCUCUCAUGGCACAGAGGUUUCCAAAAAAAUGGCGCUAAGGCCGAGAGCAUAAAGCAGUAUUUCAAAAGAGGUAAUUAGACUGAUGAUGAGGGGAUAACACAUGGAAGAGAAACAUUUCAAAAGCUUCUCCGCUUUUCCAAAAGAGGAAGGAGUUUGUUGAAAUUUUCUAAACUCAGAUUUGGUGAAAAAUUACUUUGAAAAGAUAUAUUUGAAACUUCUUUCCUCUGGGUCCCAAUGGGAAAAUAUCCCUACAGGUUUCCCUCCUUCCAAACAGCACUGCAGGGCAUUAUAUAACUAAACAGGAUUCCAGCUCCUAAAAUGAUGCCUCCAUCCUGAUAACUAGCUGGCUCUCUCGCCCUCCGGUGGUUACUGGGAGAGGAAGAGAAGAGAGAACACAAAAAAAGGGCAACCUCCUUAAAAGGAAAGCACUGUCCAGUGAUGAAAUUUCCACAGAGCAUAGAAACCUGGAGUGAAACUGAUCUUAAGUCUGAGACUAAAGGAUUUGAAUGUCCUACAGUGUAAAUGAUUUCUCAUUGAUAAAUCAGAGCCUCAUCAUUUCCUCUUAACCUAUACAUAAA